rnacentral:lncRNA from 1 species
UUUAUUUUUCACAAUAUAUAUAUUCUUACAUACUUUAAUUCUGAACAUACAAAAGAUACAGCCUUUUUUAUUUAGCUUUUAUCGAUUCAUAAAUUGACUCAUCAUUUACGACAACAACAACGCACUGACUUAGGAUAAAUUAUAUAGCAGGCACCACCAUAUCUAUAGCCUUUUCCAUAACACUCUUGAUAGCAUUGUAAAUCUGACGUGCAAUCACCCUCUUGACAUUUUAAAUACAAAGGACUAUACUCACCACUUGAUAAUCCUACAAUAAAAUCAAGUUAAUUUAUAUUUGUGUUAGUUUUCUUUUUUAAAGAAUAUUUGAGUUUGUUUAUUGUAUUUGAAGUAAGCAAUUCAAAAAAUAAAAUAAACGUGUAUUCACUACCUGAAAACAAAAUCAUAGAAAUGAUCAAAAUCCAACAAAGAUAAGAUUGGUUGAUAUAAAUGAAAGCCAUUAUUGUUCAAAAUUUUACCUUAUGUUAUUUCUCUUGUAGAUUUAAGACUUACA